CUGAUCCAGCAAUACCGCGUGUGUGAAGAAGGCCUUAGGGUUGUAAAGCACUUUCAAUUGGGAGGAAAACCUGUCGGUCAAUACCCGGCAGCUUGACAUUACCUUUAGAAGAAGCACCGGCUAACUCCGUGCCAGCAGCCGCGGUAAUACGGAGGGUGCAAGCGUUAAUCGGAAUUACUGGGCGUAAAGCGUGCGUAGGCGGUUCGUUAAGUCAGAUGUGAAAGCCCCGGGCUUAACCUGGGAACUGCAUUUGAAACUGGCGGACUUGAGUUGAGUAGAGGGGAGUGGAAUUUCAGGUGUAGCGGUGAAAUGCGUAGAUAUCUGAAGGAACACCAGUGGCGAAGGCGACUCCCUGGACUCAAACUGACGCUGAGGUACGAAAGCGUGGGUAGCAAACAGGAUUAGAUACCCUGGUAGUCCACGCUGUAAACGAUGUCAACUAGCCGUUGGUCCUAUUUACAGGAUUAGUGGCGCAGCUAACGCAUUAAGUUGACCGCCUGGGGAGUACGGCC
rnacentral:rRNA from 1 species